rnacentral:sRNA from 1 species
UUGUUCCCUCAUCACCUGCCAUUCUCAGGAGGACAGGAGAGGGCCCAGCUCAUCACUUGACACAUCUGCGGCUUGGCUCCCCUUAGGUCAAGGGUGCAUCAUCUUGCAGCCAAGCUGUGGCUUAGAGGGCACUGGGACAAAGCAGUCCUGCCCACUUGGGCAGCAGGGGCGAGAAGUGGGCAGUUUCCUGUGAACAUCCUGAUCUUUCUCCACGUUCACAGUCAACCUUCUGUUUGGUUGGUCCCCCGUUUCUAGCCCCUUGACCCCAACAAGUAAAGUACUGGGUCAUGACAUCAAAUGUUCCAGAUAUAGAAAGAGAAUCCUUCACUUCUGCAUUGCAUAUUACUUAGUUGUCAUUCUAGUUGAUGUAUCAACCAAGUAUUGUGUGUAGAUUUAGGUCUAGGUCUGAAUUUCUUCUGAAUGGUCUGCUAAAAUCAGAUUUCUGAGCCUGCAUGCUGAGAACCCAUUCUAAGACUAGAACAAUUGCAUCAAGAUGUGGAGGACCAUCAGGCCCUGCCUGAACAACCAGCCUUGAUUCUAGCUCUUUCCCACCCUCUCGUAGUGUUUUACAGCCACAGUCUUCACAGAAAAGUACUGUACAGCUAACCAUGUGGAUAAGCUUCCUGGCCCAAGAGAUUGGGUACAGAUUCUACAGGAUCAAAUUAAACUGGCCAGAAGAAGGUUAAAAAGAGGCUCAGAGAUUGCGGACAGUGAUGAAAGACUGGAUGGCAUGUCUCUACCACCAACAGGUACUUGUGGUGGGCCCUGCACUGUUCUGCCGGGUGGGAGUGCAGCGGUGACCCUAGUCUUGCAGAGCUCACCUCAGACAAUGUCACAAGAAAAGGGACAGAUGGCAGAACCCUGGGAGGAGCAGCAUCUCGUGCUCCUGAACAGCCUUACCAGAGAGAGAGCUGAAACAGGAGCUUUGUCCCAAACCAGCCAAGACUUCAAGCACCAUUCAUGCCUCAUAACUCAGGUCUCAGCUACACUUCAUCAUCAGAGAGGGAUUCGCAACUUUCCCACGCCAGGCUCAAUCAAGUCACGGUCUCUUACCCUUCACAUCGCUUGCCUCUCUCUGAAAUUAUCUUGCUUAUUUAUGUGUGUGUGUGUCACCCAUCUUUCCACUGGAAUCUGAGCCUUGUGAUGUCAGGCUGUUAAGAUUUCAGGCCCUGGUGAAAACAUGUUCAGGAUGCCCUCUCUCCCCUUUGCCCACCAAGAGUGGACUGAUUAAAGUUGGACCUGAGGUUUCCAUGAAUAUGCAACCGAGUCGUUCUGACUACAGUGAGUCCUGGCCUCCCAGUGCUGCCAGUUACCAGAAGUGACUCCCCUUCUCCCAUCAGCCCAAACCCAGAGCCUUUAUCACAGAACCCAAGACUGAGAGGAGGGUCAGGCUGGUUGGACAGUGGCCUUAUCAUAGGAUGGAUCAGGAGCCUUUUACAGCGCUCUCCUUUCUGCUGUAUCCCAUUGUCUUGGAUCACAUGGACUUGCCUUUUCCCCUAAUACCGCCCCCUCACCGCUCUUCUAUAAUUGGAGAAAUUGUGUCAAUAGAUCGACCAAAGAGAUGCAAGUUGUACUCCAUGAGAAUUUAAUAAACGCUAGUGAUUCAAAGCAACUUGAAUUUACACAGAUCAACUCCUAUUAUGUUUUGUAACCUCGAAUGCGUGAAAUUGAUUAUUCCCCCGAAAGUAAUAUAUACAGAUAUGUGUGUAUAUACAUAUUUGUUUAUUUCUGUUAUUGGUGAAAUUAAAAAGAAUGUUUAAAU